rnacentral:lncRNA from 1 species
UUAUGUUAUGCACUGUUUUUGUUAGUUCAUAGACCAGCUGCUUCAGUAAUAUUCCUCAAUAAUCUGGGAUUUUGAUCGAGCUGAAUGGCAUUGUUUGAUCCAUAUACCCGACCUCACUUUGUGGGAUAAGACUUUUGUUGUUGUUGUUGUUGUCUAUAGAUCAGCUGCUUCAGGCACAUGAAGGGUUUGAGAAUCAGCUGAAGGAAGUGCACUUAGCAAAAUAGGAGACGCAAAUAGUCACUGCCUAAAUAGUACAAUAUGUAUACAUUCAUACUUAUAUAAAAAUGCUCAGCUAAUUUCAAAAAAAAAAAGAAUGCUCAGCAAUGUCCACCGGGUUUGCUACAUAACUAUAAUUAUACAUAUCAUUAAUGAUUUGCAAAUUGCUAUUGUUUCAAUCUCUAGGACAUGGAAGAACUUUAUCAUAUUCUGUCUUCACAUUUUGAAACUAGAACAUGCGAAGUUCUUUUGUGUUCCCUCAUUCACCACAACACCUACAAAAACUGUAUGGGUUUAAAGAAUGGAUGCGAUGAAAACACACAUUGCAAAAAAAAAACAAAUCCUAUUCCGUUUUCUCUAACUCCAAGAACCCCCAACAGAAGUAACAUCCCUUAAUUGGCACCUUAUGUUAUGCACUGUUUUUGUUAGUUCAUAGACCAGCUGCUUCAGUAAUAUUCCUCAAUAAUCUGGGAUUUUGAUCGAGCUGAAUGGCAUUGUUUGAUCCAUAUACCCGACCUCACUUUGUGGGAUAAGACUUUUGUUGUUGUUGUUGUUGUCUAUAGAUCAGCUGCUUCAGGCACAUGAAGGGUUUGAGAAUCAGCUGAAGGAAUUGGGAAAGCAACACGAGGGCUGAAGCGCGACAAUGGCGGGAUCCGGGGUGAUGGAGCUGUUGUUCUUGUCCUUGGAGAUAAGUUUUGCUGCUCCAGAAUUAAGAACUGAAGCUCAGGUGGGUAG